rnacentral:rRNA from 1 species
CACGUAGGGCGCAAGCGUUGUCCGGAAUUAUUGGGCGUAAAGAGCUCGUAGGCGGUCUGUUGCGUCCGCUGUGAAAACUCGGGGCUUAACCCCGAGCCUGCAGUGGAUACGGGCAGGCUAGAGUUCGGUAGGGGAGACUGGAAUUCCUGGUGUAGCGGUGAAAUGCGCAGAUAUCGUAAGGAAGACCAGUGGCGAAGGCGGGUCUCUGGACAGUUCCUGACGCUGAGGCACGAAGGCCAGGGGAGCAAACGGG